rnacentral:rRNA from 1 species
CGGAUGGCUUCGACACGUUGGUCCGGCUUGCGUACUCCAUGAACGCUCAUGGAAAGCAGCGAGCUCGGCCGAUCGAAGACAUCCUGCAGGGAUCCUCAGAGACUGUACGCCAGGCCCCUCGGUGAGAAGAGGGGAUGAUACAGUCCGAUCCCCAUGGCGACAUGGGGAGUCAGGCAGAAAUGUCCUGACCGCGUCCCGUGCGUGCCGUCCACGCACAUCGACAUCAGGGACGCAGUAACAAGAAUGCCUAAGGUAGCGAAAUUCCUUGUCGGGUAAGUUCCGACCUGCACGAAUGGCGUAACGACUCGGGCACUGUCUCAACCAGAGACUCGGCGAAAUUGCAAUGUGAGUAAAGAUGCUCACUUCCCGCGACAGGACGGAAAGACCCCGGGACCUUUACUGCAGCUUGACAUUGAAGUUCUUCAUGUGAUGUGUAGGAUAGGUGGGAGUCAAUGAAGCGGCCGCGCUAGCGGUCGUGGAGACAACCUUGAAAUACCACCCUUCCCAUGACGUGCUUCUAACUUCGGUCCGUUAUCCGGAUCAAGGACAGUGUCUGGUGGGCAGUUUCACUGGGGUGGUGGCCUCCUAAAGUGUAACGGAGGCGCCCAAAGGUUCCCUCAGCCAGGUCGGCAAUCUGGCGGCGAGUGUAAAGGCACAAGGGAGCUUGACUGCGAGACAGACAAGUCGAGCAGGUACGAAAGUAGGGCUUAGUGAUCCCUCGGCGGCAUGUGGGUGCGCCGAGGCCAACGGCUAAAAGGUACCCCGGGGAUAACAGGCUCAUACCGCCCAAGAGUCCAUAUCGACGGCGGUGUUUGGCACCUCGAUGUCGGCUCGUCUCAUCCUGGGGCUGAAGCAGGUCCCAAGGGUCGGGCUGUUCGCCCGUUAAAGAGGCACGCGAGCUGGGUUUAGAACGUCGUGAGACAGUUCGGUCCCUAUCCGUCGUGGGCGCAGGAGAUUUGAGGAGAGUUGUCCCUAGUACGAGAGGACCGGGAUGAACGUACCUCUGGUGUGCCAGUUGUUCUGCCAAGAGCACGGCUGGUUUGCUACGUACGGAACGGAUAAGCGCUGAAAGCAUCUAAGCGCGAAACCGGCUCCGAGAUGAGAUCUCCCACUGAGAAAUCAGGUAAGGCCCCUGGUAGACGACCAGGUUGAUAGGCCGGAAGUGGAAGCGCAGCAAUGUGUGAAGCUGACCGGUACUAAUAGGCCGAGGGCUUGAAUUU